rnacentral:rRNA from 1 species
UACGUAGGGGGGCAAGCGUUGUCCGGAUUUAUUGGGCGUAAAGGGCGCGUAGGCGGCCAUGCGUGUCUUCCGUGAAAUCCCUCGGCUUAACUGAGGACGUGCGGAAGAAACUGCAAGGCUUGAGUCCGGGAGAGGGGGGGUGGAAUUCCCAGUGUAGCGGUGAAAUGCGUAGAUAUUGGGAGGAACACCGGUGGCGAAGGCGGCCCCCUGGACCGGUACUGACGCUGAGGAGCGAAAGCGUGGGUAGCAAACAGG